rnacentral:snRNA from 2 species
AUACUUACCUGGACAGGGUCUAUGAAAAAAGUCAUGUCCUAAGUUAGUGGUCUUCAUUACACUUGGAAGAAGCACUCGCUUACCAUCUCCUAGAGUAGGAGAACGGACGUCGUAAUUUAUGGCGGAGGGGACCAUGGCCUCAA